rfam:Photorhabdus luminescens subsp. laumondii TTO1 complete genome
AAAGUCCCUUCCGGGUAAGAGCUAGCCACUCACCUGGCCCUUUAGCUAUGCGCGACUGUGGGUAACUCCUGUCGUGAAGUGUUAGCGAAGGCACUCACAGGCCAGGUAUUGAGCCACGAAAUCGGUAAAUCGGAGGUGGUGAUGCAGUUAAGGUAAGCAGAAACCCACAAUGGUCAGGUUGUAUUGGCGAAACCUGACCAUACCUCCCGGGGUCGGAGACCC